UACGGGAGGCAGCAGUGGGGAAUAUUGCACAAUGGGCGCAAGCCUGAUGCAGCCAUGCCGCGUGUAUGAAGAAGGCCUUCGGGUUGUAAAGUACUUUCAGUCGUGAGGAAGGUGUUAAGGUUAAUAACCUUAGCAAUUGACGUUAGCGACAGAAGAAGCACCGGCUAACUCCGUGCCAGCAGCCGCGGUAAUACGGAGGGUGCGAGCGUUAAUCGGAAUUACUGGGCGUAAAGGGCACGCAGGCGGUUAAUUAAGUUGGAUGUGAAAUCCCCGGGCUUAAACCUGGGAAUGGCAUUCAAGACUGGUUAGCUAGAGUCUUGUAGAGGGGGUAGAAUUCCAUGUGUAGCGGUGAAAUGCGUAGAGAUGUGGAGGAAUACCGGUGGCGAAGGCGGCCCCUGGACAAAAGGACUGACGCUCAUGUGCGAAAGCGUGGGGAGCAAAACAGGGAUUAGAUACC
rnacentral:rRNA from 1 species